rnacentral:rRNA from 1 species
GAUGAACGCUGGCGGCGUGCCUAAUACAUGCAAGUCGAGCGAACAGACGAGGAGCUUGCUCCUCUGACGUUAGCGGCGGACGGGUGAGUAACACGUGGAUAACCUACCUAUAAGACUGGGAUAACUUCGGGAAACCGGAGCUAAUACCGGAUAAUAUCUUGAACCGCAUGGUUCAAUAGUGAAAGACGGUUUUGCUGUCACUUAUAGAUGGAUCCGCGCCGCAUUAGCUAGUUGGUAAGGUAACGGCUUACCAAGGCAACGAUGCGUAGCCGACCUGAGAGGGUGAUCGGCCACACUGGAACUUAAACACGGUCCAGACUCCUACGGGAGGCAGCAGUAGGGAAUCUUCCGCAAUGGGCGAAAGCCUGACGGAGCAACGCCGCGUGAGUGAUGAAGGUCUUCGGAUCGUAAAGCUCUGUUAUUAGGGAAGAACAAAUGUGUAAGUAACUAUGCACGUCUUGACGGUACCUAAUCAGAAAGCCACGGCUAACUACGUG